rnacentral:rRNA from 1 species
UACGGAGGAUCCGAGCGUUAUCCGGAUUUAUUGGGUUUAAAGGGUGCGUAGGCGGUUUGAUAAGUUAGAGGUGAAAUGUCGGGGCUCAACCCCGAAACUGCCUCUAAUACUGUUGGACUAAAGGAUAGUUGCGGUAGGCGGAAUGUAUGGUGUAGCGGUGAAAUGCUUAGAGAUCAUACAGAACACCGAUUGCGAAGGCAGCUUACCAAACUAUAUCUGACGUUGAGGCACGAAAGCGUGGGUAGCAAACAGG